rnacentral:lncRNA from 1 species
GUGCUCUCUCUCGCUCUGCAGCCAGCGCAAGGUUGAAAAUGCCAAACAGCUACUAGAAGAAACUUUGGCAGGUGGCCAGGCAGAGGACCUGUGUCUAGAGCUGCAAAAAGCCAGCAAGCAGCUGGAGGAUAUCAGCAAGCAUGUAAGGGGCAGCCCAGUUCCCUCUGUGUGGGGCAGCAGGAGAUGCCGAGGGCCGCGUCCGACGCGCGGCCGCCCUGGGGAAGGGAAUCGCGCGUUCCGAAUGCUGUGCCUCCCUGCAGGAGUGGAACCAGCAGAGGAAGUAAAAUUUGAGGGGGUGGUGACAACAGUUUGCUGAUGAAAGAGGCAGCAUUGCAUAUUUGUGGUGGCUUAAAAAAAAAAAAAGAGAAAAGAGGGGAAAAAAAAAAGGCACCCAAAAAUAGUUUCCAUACACAGUCCACCCCAACGUAAAAAUGCAGAAGUUCAGAGGGAGCUUUAUCACUUCCUGAGAAAGAACAGAUGCAGUUUGGUUUCAUUUACAUGAACGGCGGAGGAUCAAGCUGAAGCAUUUCACUCUGCUCGUGAAGAAGCAGCAUCCUUGAAGAGCAAGUUGGAGGAAGCCAUUUCUGAGCAGCAGAAGCUCAGGGAUGUGAAUGCUGCUUUAGAAAGCACUUGCCAACUGCUUCAGGAGAAGGUGGAAGACCACAAAAUGCUGUGCAGAGUCAGAGUCUGAGUACGCUCUGCUGCCCACGAUAGCUGCACACGUAAAAGGGAAGCAGCUCCACAGAUCCAAAAGACCAUGGAAUGAGGGACCCACCUUGUACUCUGACUUUCCCUGGGCACUGCUAUCAGGUGCUUCACGCUGGCACAGCUCCCCUCUGCUAGAUGCUCUGACCUUGGAGACCUCCUGCCCAAAUAACCCUCCUGGGCACAGCUGGGACCAGCCUUGCAGGCAGAGCUCUGGCAGCUGCACCUUGGAGAGGCAUGAUGUGGGACACGUGUCCAGCUCAGAUGUGACCUCAGGAGGAUGCAGGUGGAAAAUAUACUCUGCUGAUGACUACACUGAUGCAG